rnacentral:rRNA from 1 species
AUACGUAGGGAGCAAGCGUUGUCCGGAUUUACUGGGUGUAAAGGGUGCGUAGGCGGCCCUGCAAGUCAGGUGUGAAAACUCUGGGCUUAACUCGUAGAUUGCACUUGAAACUGUGGGGCUUGAGUGAAGUAGAGGCAGGCGGAAUUCCCGGUGUAGCGGUGAAAUGCGUAGAGAUCGGGAAGAACACCAGUGGCGAAGGCGGCCUGCUGGGCUUUAACUGACGCUGAGGCACGAAAGCGUGGGUAGCAAACAGGAUUAGAUACCCUGGUAGUCCAUGCUGUAAACGAUGAUUACUAGGUGUGGGGGGACUGACCCCCUCCGUGCCGGAGUUAACACAAUAAGUAAUCCACCUGGGAAGUACGACCGCAAGGUUGAA